UACGGGGGGGGCAAGCGUUGUUCGGAAUUACUGGGCGUAAAGCGCGCGUAGGCGGGUGGGCAAGUCUGGCGUGAAAGACCGAGGCUCAACCUCGGAAUUGCCGGCGAUACUGUCUGUCUUGAGUCCGGGAGAGGGGAGUGGAAUUCCCAGUGUAGCGGUGAAAUUCGUAGAUAUUGGGAAGAACACCAGUGGCGAAGGCGGCUCACUGGCCCGGUACUGACGCUGAGGCGCGAAAGCUUGGGGAGCAAACAGG
rnacentral:rRNA from 1 species